UUUUUUUUUUGUUUUAUUUUUUUUCUUCAUUGGAUAAAUCCAACUAAAAUUCCUUGCUCAUUAAAGUUUUCCAGUAGAUUGUGAGAAGAGAAAGAACAUUAUACUAGUCAUAGUACAGGAGAAGUGUGUGUUUUUACAUAUAUGUAUACUUCUUUUUUCACAAUAUUUGGUGCUCUGCACUUUCUUUUCACAAUAUUUAGAGCUUUUGGUUCCCAGUUUGAAAACAACAAACUUGAAUUUCAGUAUAACAACACUGAAGAUAGAAAACUCAGAAUUAGAUUGCAACAAUUCUGAAAUCCUAAUCAAGUAUACAUAUCCAAAUGCCAAGAAAACUAAAGCCAGUAUGAUUGAUACCUCAUGUGUAAAUGUCCUA
rnacentral:misc_RNA from 1 species